UUAGGGCAGAUUAUAGCUUGAGGUCAAAAUGAACAAAAUUUCUGUGAACAUGCUGGGCAUUCAUUCUAAUGUACAUAUGAAAAAUGGAGCUGAGCCUGUUGAUUGGCAUUCCCUUUGUCUGGGAAUUGGACAAGAACUUGAAAGCUAUCAAACCCAUGCAGUUCCUGGUGAGUGAAGAGAUCAUGUCUAUAGCUGUGGAAGCUGUGGCUCCCCAGGGCAAGGCUAAGAAGUGCAGAUUUUCUCAUGGCAGUGUUUCUCCUUCAUUCUUGUGAAUUCAGGAGGAUGGCAUAAACAUCUUAAAAAUGAAAGCCUGACAGGUUUCUCCGGAAAUGUGGCCAUCCAUGGAAUGAAUGAAAUGUUCUCUUUCUAUCCCAACUACCAAUGGCAUUUUUCCUUAGCCUCAAGAGACCAUCGUAAAACAAUGGCUCACAGUGUUUUCAGAACAGGAACUGAAGUUGUGUACUGUGCAUGUAUAGUCCUACGCAAGAGGAAGGCAAUGUUUAAAGCUGCUGUCGCCUCCUGGAAAAAAAAAAAAGAAAAAAGCUGGGAUUCUGAGUCGAAUGCAACUUAGAAUGAUAAGGUUCCUGGUCUGUGGGAUUCCGGCUGGUUUGCCUCAUGCUGACUCCUGUCAUCUGGUUUCAAAACCCUCAGAGAACCUCAUUUCCUGUUUGCCACUGGUUCUGGAGGAGGUUUGCCAAGAGCUUUUGGCUGGGAAGGACGGUGGAGUUCAUCACAGGCAGUGAGCUGGAACCACACUUGUGACUCUCCAACCUGGUUCCCCACCUUGAAAAUGUCAAGAUCCACACUGCCUUAUCAAAAGGCCUGGGCUUUGGCAAAGUGUGAUUGUAUCCCGUGGCCAGGAUCAUGUCAACCAGUGUCUUUUACCUUGCCUGGCAGUGGGGGUUUGGGGCACAAAUCAAGAAAGGAAAUGAUUCUUGAAUUAUAAUUUGUUUUUCUAAAAAUUAAGAUUAAUUAACAAGUAUUUGCUUUUAUGUCCAUUCUGUUCAAAGAACUUAAUGGCGAUUACAACACAGCAAAAAUAGGUCACAGCAAAAUGAACAUGCAAGAUUAGGUUAAAACAUUCCUCUGAAAUUUCUGUAUUCAUUUUUGGAAUGUCAGUUACUACAUUUCUGUAAUUUAUCAUUUUUUUUUUCUGGCUUAGAAUCAAGGUGAGAAAUGAUAUUGAGACCAAAGACAUUGUUUUGUUAUAAAGUCACAGCUUCUUAAAAUGCAAAUCAGCCCUGUCAGCCCACGCAUA